AGGAACACCACUGUCUGCCAUGGUUCCGCCACACCCCAAGGCCCAUAGAGAAAGGACUGGAAAAGGUGGAAUAUUUUCAAAAAGUGGAACUCAAACAGAGUAAAAGAGUGGUUACCAGAGGCUACAGGCUGGAAGACUUGGAGAGAUGUUAAAGGACACAACACUUCAGUUAGGAGAAAGAAGUUCAAGCAACUUAUUGUACAUUGUGGAACCUAUUGGAGGGAGCCAGAGAGCUAAUGAUUCAAAACUUAGAGUAUGUUAGCAUCAAGAAGGAUCUCAGGAUGCAAAUCCAAACCUUCACCCGGCAAAUGAAUGAACUUGGGUUCGCUGAGAGCAAGCACUUGCCCAAAAUCCCUAAGACAGAGUGACAGGCACAGAGGACGGGGCUGAUUUGCCACUUCCCAUUCUAAGUGUGACCUCUGUCCUCAAGUCUGCCUACGCAGCGACCCUCAGACCAUGGCUCAACAAAACCACACAGCAGCCCUGGCUCUGGCUCUGCUCCCUCGCUUGAGUCCAAAAUCACAAAAGGAUGGACUGGCUGCAUCUAUGCCUCACUGUUUCAGAAGAAGAAAAGAUGGACCUCAGGGCCUCACCUGUGCUAAGCAAGUGCUCCACCACUGAGCCACGAACAUCCCCAGCCUUUAUGUUUUACGUGCAGUCUUGAAUUGUCUACUUAAUCACCGUGAGCCUCAGUUUCCAACAGGGAUAAAACUAAUACUACUUUAUAGAACUAUUUUGCUGAAGACUAAACAGGAUCAUUUCUGUAGAACACUCAGUAAAGUGUCUGACACACAGGAAUGCCUUGUAGCCUAGAGCUAUGCAUGACAUCAGAACAAAUGGGGGAACCAGAGCCUCUCUAACUUACUUUUUAUCUCACUUGUAUCUUUAGCUCUUCAUAAUUCUCCGAAUGCAAUUCCCAAAAUAAAAUCUGGUCAUGU